rnacentral:lncRNA from 1 species
UUACCAUAACAUAUAUCAAGUUGAAAAAACUGAUUCAAAAUAAGAUCCGUCUUGUUGAACAUAAGAAUCAUCUGUUCAUUGGAGCCUUUAUAAUGGGUAAUGCAUGGUUCGAAUGGGAUAUGCUUCAGUGAUCCACUACUUGAAUGAUAGGUUGCAGCCGGGAGUAACAUGUAUUCCUCGCAUCAGGUUAAAGCAUGUAAGUGUUGGUACUCACAUUAGAACCAUAUGAAAUGCCGUUUUUACUGAGGAGAAGGAAAAAAAAAAAACAGUUCACAAAAUGUAACUUGUUAUAUCAAUAUCAAAAAACCAUGCCCAUAAGAUAGUUGUUGCUAAUGAUGGCACUAUAUACUUCAAGUAAUUUACAACAUGACAUUAUAACUCGAAAACCUAUUACCCAAACAAAGGGAUGUUGCUAAAAAUGCAUGUAGAUUUGUGCAAAACCAAAGCUUCUAUUUUAGUGGUAACAUCAGAUGUGACCCGAUUUAUUUACAAAAGACAACUUUUUUGGAAAGAAAUCAAAAACAUCAUCACUCAAACAUGAAAACAUCAUGGACAAUGCGUUUAAGUUUGCAUAUGUACUGCUCCGCACAAAUUUAUUCAUAGGAGAAAUUACAUUGAAAUUGUCAUAAAGUUAAGCAAGUGUGUCGACGGUGACAGCCAUAAGCACUUCGAGAUUUUGGAAUUCACAUUCUUUCAAAAUUAAAUUGAAAAAAGAAUCAAGCUCGUCCCUCCCUCUACAUGAUUACGAGUGCAAGAAAAAAACGUAUGGUGACUGCUAUUAUUAAUCCUAUAUAAUGGAUCAUUUUUCCACCUCCAAAACUCAGAACAGACAGUAUUCCGAUCUCGUGAAACAAGAAGAGAAAACCUAAAGCAACAAGUGCGUGUACGAGAUAGAACCUCUGGGACAGGAUUAAAAUAAAGAUCUUGGUAGACCCUUUUUUUUUUCUUCAUAUGCUCAAUUACGUCCUGAUGGAUCUAAUCUUGCUGCUGUCUGUAGUUCUACUUGAUGCAUCAUUGUCCUAGUUAAUGCUCGAUUCUUAGUUUGAGGCAAACCAGAGAUGAUCUGAACCACCAAAUUCCCGAUAUUUAUUUAUGUCCGAAGAGCUGGGUACAACCAUCAUGCAUAAAUUUCAAGCCUGGCUAGGCCUGUAUAUCUGAAGCAGGCUUAAGUUGAGACCUAACAUCAAAAUUGUCAUGCCCGAGUUCGGAGCGCGGCAGACGUUGCACGCCUGCACGGCGGACCAUACAACAUGCUAGACUGCGGAUCAUAUCAAACCAAUAACAAAUUCCUGAAUAUAUNNNNNNNNNNNNNNNNNNNNUAUAUAUAUAUAUAUAUAUAUAUAUAUAUAUAUAUAUAUAUAUAUAAUUUCUAAUAAUUUGUUUAGAGCAACCUUCCAACGUUUCAAAAUAUCAUAUGUCAACAUAAAUCAAAUACUCAACUAGUCUAUUUAAAAUGCCAAUAAGUGAAAGAAUCAUUAAGAAAUCUAGCGCACUCCCCAAGUCUCGAACGAUCAGGCGUCUAUGCAUCUGGAUCUGAAAAAUAAAAAAAAUGAUAAUGAGCUACACUAAUCCAGUAAGCAACAUAAUACUCCAGAGUGAGGUCAAAGCAUACCAGAUAUUUAAACAAAAUACAAAAUAAUGAUUGAAAAAUAAAUCAUAAAUAACAUUUUUUUUUAAACUUAUUAUCAUUUCACAAAAACUCUAAUACCAGAAUCCCAACAUCAAUAGGCUAUGGCCACAUAACUCAGUGACAUGGGUUGCACAAAGUGCCAAAUUUUACUAUUAUUAACCACCGUUGGCAACGGUGUUUAAAUCCACUAUUAUUAACUACCGGUGGCCACGGUGUCCAAAUCUACUAUUCUAAUCACCGAUGGCGUGGUGUCAAAAAAAAGUUUCUCAUGGAUACAAGUCAAUUGAGCCAACGAAUAAUCUCCAUUGGCGGAGCCAGAAUAGAUCAUAGCCAUGCUGAAAAUACAUAUAUAUACACAAAUAGAUUUUUCAUAAUUUACCCACUCACAUUUUCUAGAUUUUAUAAUAUAUAACAUAGAUACAAAAUGAUUCUUAACAUGCCUGACCUGAUUAAUUAAGUACAAAACAUAUAUAAAAAUUUAAUCAAUUAAUAAUUAUUUUACCAAAUAAUUUUGAAAAUAUACUUUGAAGUAUUAGGUUACUUACUUAUUCUCGUUUCAAAUCCUACUUCAGGUAGGCGGAUUAGGUUCACCUGCUUAAAUAUUAUAAUUGAUUUUUUUGUUAAUUUCAGAGCUAAACAAAGUGAAAAAUACUAUUGGACACAACCUCAUAAUGGAUGAACAGACCUAAGGUGAAUACGGUUCGAACUCGACCUGCAAUGGGCACGGCUUAAUAAGGCCUGGGCACGGACCAUAAUGGGCACGGACCAAUAGGGCCGAAUUUGGCCCACAAUAGGCACAGUCCAACAGGCCCAAACCUGGCCCACAAUGAACAGACUUGGCCCACAUGGAUGAAUAGGGCCCAAUAAAGUGAACAAGGCCAGAACUCGGCCCACAAUAGGUACGAAUCCAAUAAGGCCCAACAUAGCUAAAUUGGGCUCAAGUUAGGCCCACAAUGGGUACGGCCCAAUAGGGCCCAACAUGGCUGAAGUGGGCCCAAGUCGGGCCCACAAUGAAUAUUCACGGCCCAAACAUUCUUCAUCUCGUUAAGCUCAAAAAUAGGGGAAGAAGGAAAAGAAGAAGGAAGAGGGAAGAGCCUCAGCGGCGGCCGGGCCUGGCUCGUUCGGUCGAUGGCCAGCCAACAGCAGUGGCAGCCGGCGGCCGCUACGGUGGCGGGCGAGAAGGAAAAACCGAGAAUAGUCUCGGUUGGGGCCAGAACAGAGUAAGAAAUAGCCACUUGAUUCGGCUAAAGUCAAAGACCAGAGGGAGGAGAGCUUACCAGCGGUCGACCGACGUGGCGCAUCUCGGCCGCGGCUGCUCCACCGCAGUGACUAGUGGUGGCUUUCGACGGCAAAGUGGAUCUCGAAACAGGGGAAAUAGGGAAAACGAAAGAAAUCCAGAGUUCCGGGGUGACGGAGCAUGGCCAAGGUGGCAUGUGGGCCACCGGAGAAGGAGGAGAGGGAGAAGGAGGAGAGGGAUCUCGGGACAGGGCUCUCAGAGGGAUGAUGGGGUUUUAUACGGUGCAUCGCCCACGAUCCCAAGCGGAUGAGCCCGAGCGAACGGUUGGUAGCCGUUCGAACAACCCACAAAGGCCUUACCAGACACGUUUCCACGAUCACGGCAAGCGAUCAGAUCCCCUCAUGCCCGAAGAAGUCAGAGCAGAGAAUCGCGAUCGCGAUCGCGAUCGCGAUCGCGAUCGCGAUCCUUUGUUCUGCUUCUUGCCUCCUCCUAUCCAAAUUGGACUGAAGUCGGUUGCGCCGGCCGACUUCAGUCCAAUGCGG